rnacentral:rRNA from 1 species
UUUGAUCCUGGCUCAGAACGAACGCUGGCGGCACGCCUAAUACAUGCAAGUCGCACGAGAAAGUCCUUCGGGAUGAGUAGAGUGGCGCACGGGUGAGUAAUACAUGGGAACGUACCCUUUUGUCGGGAGUAACCACGGGAAACUGUGGCUAAUACCGGAUGUGAUCGAGAGAUUAAAGGAGGCCUCUAUUUAUAAGCUUUCGCAAGAGGAUCGGCCCAUGUCCCAUUAGCUAGUUGGUAGGGUAAUGGCCUACCAAGGCGACGAUGGGUAACUGGUCUGAGAGGAUGAUCAGUCACACUGGAACUGAGACACGGUCCAGACUCCUACGGGAGGCAGCAGUAGGGAAUAUUGCGCAAUGGGGGAAACCCUGACGCAGCGAUGCCGCGUGAGUGAAGAAGGCCUUUGGGUCGUAAAGCUCUUUCGAACGGGAAGAAGGGUCCAGUAGCUAAUAAUUGCUGGAUUUGACGGUACCGUAUGAAGAAGCACCUGCUAACUACGUGCCAGCAGCAGCGGUAAUACGUAGGGUGCAAGCGUUGUUCGGAAUUACUGGGCGUAAAGCGCGCGUAGGCGGGCUUGUAUGUCAAUUGUGAAAUCCCCGGGCUCAACCUGGGAAUGGCAGUUGAAACUGCAAGUCUUGAGUACCCGAGAGGAUGGGAGAAUAGCUGGUGUAGUAGUGAAAUACGUAGAUAUCAGCUGGAAUACCUGAGGCGAAGGCGCCUAUCUGGUGGUGCACUGACACUGAGGAGCGAAAGCGUGGGGAGCGAACAGGAUUAGAUACCCUGGUAGUCCACGCCGUAAACGGUGGGCACUAGUUGUGGGAACCUUCCACGGUUUCUGCGACGCAGCUAACGCAUUAAGUGCCCCGCCUGGGGAGUACGAUCGCAAGAUUAAAACUCAAAGGAAUUGACGGGGCCCCGCACAAG